rnacentral:rRNA from 1 species
GAUGAACGCUGGCGGCAUGCCUAAUACAUGCAAGUCGAGCGAACGGACGAGAAGCUUGCUUUUCUGAUGUUAGCGGCGGACGGGUGAGUAACACGUGGAUAACCUACCUAUAAGACUGGGAUAACUUCGUGAAACCGGAGCUAAUACCGGAUAAUAUUUUGAACCGCAUGGUUCAAAAGUGAAAGACGGUCUUGCUGUUACUUAUAGAUGGAUCCGCGCUGCAUUAGCUAGUUGGUAAGGUAACGGCUUACCAAGGCAACGAUGCAUAGCCGACCUGAGAGGGUGAUCGGCCACACUGGAGCUGAGACACGGUCCAGACUCCUACGGGAGGCAGCAGUAGGGAAUCUUCCGCAAUGGGCGAAAGCCUGAAGGAGCAAAGCCGCGUGGGUGAUGAAGGUCUUCGGAUCGUAAAACUGUGUUAGUAGGGAAGAAAAUAUGUGUAAGUAACUGCGCACAUCUUGACGGUAACUAAUCAGAAAGCCACGGCUAACUUCGUG